AACGAACGCUGGCGGCAGGCUUAACACAUGCAAGUCGAGCGCCCCGCAAGGGGAGCGGCAGACGGGUGAGUAACGCGUGGGAAUCUACCCAUCUCUACGGAAUAACGCAUGGAGACGUGUGCUAAUACCGUAUACCUCCUUCGGGAGAAAGAUUUAUCGGAGAUGGAUGCGCCCGCGUUGGAUUAGCUAGUUGGGGGGGUAAAGGCCUACCAAGGCGACGAUCCAUAGCUGGUCUGAGAGGAUGAUCAGCCACACUGGGACUGAGACACGGCCCAGACUCCUACGGGAGGCAGCAGUGGGGAAUAUUGGACAAUGGGCGCAAGCCUGAUCCAGCCAUGCCGCGUGAGUGAUGAGGGCCCUAGGGUUGUAAAGCUCUUUCACCGGUGAAGAUAAUGACGGUAACCGGAGAAGAAGCCCCGGCUAACUUCGUGCCAGCAGCCGCCGCGGUAA
rnacentral:rRNA from 1 species